GUAGGUGGCAAGCGUUGUCCGGAAUUAUUGGGCGUAAAGCGCGCGCAGGCGGUCCUUUAAGUCUGAUGUGAAAGCCCACGGCUCAACCGUGGAGGGUCAUUGGAAACUGGGGGACUUGAGUACAGAAGAGGAAAGCGGAAUUCCACGUGUAGCGGUGAAAUGCGUAGAGAUGUGGAGGAACACCAGUGGCGAAGGCGGCUUUCUGGUCUGUAACUGACGCUGAGGCGCGAAAGCGUGGGGAGCAAACAGGGAUUAGAUACCCUGGUAGUCCACGCCGUAAACGAUGAGUGCUAAGUGUUAGGGGGUUUCCGCCCCCUUAGUGCUGCAGCUAACGCAUUAAGCACUCCGCCUGGGGAGUACGGCCGCAGGGCUG
rnacentral:rRNA from 1 species